GGGGAUGUAGCUCAGUGGUAGAGCACUUGCCUACCAUGUGUGAGACCCUGCAUUCAAUCCUCAGUGCCCCCU
rnacentral:tRNA from 1 species